AAAGAGUUAAGUAAUUAUUAAAGUUAUUGUGGCAAAAUUAUUUUAAAUAAUUAUUUAGAAAUGAAAUGUUAUUCGUUUUUAAAUAUAUCUAGUUUUUAUAGAAAAAAUUUUAAUUUUAAAUUUAAAUUAUUGAUUAUUUAAUUAAUUUAUAAAUUAUAAUAAUUAUUUAAAUUUUAUAAUUUAAGGGAUAAGCUUUAAAUUAAAUUUUUAUAAUAAUAAUUUUUUAUUUUGAAAAUUUUAUAAUUUAUAUUGUUAAUAAAUUUUAUUUUAUUAUAAAUAAUUUCAUUUUUUAAAAAAUUUAAUAUUUUAUUUGUUUAAUUUUUUAUAUAAAAUUUAUUUUUUAAUUUUAAAAAAUUAGUUAUAAUGAUAAAAUUAGUAUAUUAAUAUUUAUUAAAAUUUAAUUUUUAAUUAUUUAUUUAAUUAAUUAAAAGGAAUUCGGCAAAUAUUUAUUUUCACUUGUUUAUCAAAAACAUGUCUUUUUGUUAAUAAUUUAAAGUCUAAUCUGCCCACUGAUUUAAAAUUGAAGGGCUGCAGUAUUUUGACUGUACAAAGGUAGCAUAAUCAUUAGUCUCUUAAUUGGUGACUUGUAUGAAAGAUUGGAUGAAAAAUAUACUGUCUCUUAAUUAAUAUGUAGAAUUUAAUUUUUUAUUUAAAAAGUUAAAAUAAAUUAAAAAGACGAGAAGACCCUAUAGAGUUUAAUAAAUUUUUUUUAUAAAAAUUUUAUUUGUAUGGUAAAUUUUUAAUAAUUUUAUAAAUUUAUUUAUUUUAUUGGGGUGAUAAAAAAAUAAAUAUAACUUUUUUUAAUAGUUUUACAUAAAUAAGUGAAUAAUUGAUCCAUUAUUAAUGAUUAUAAGAUUAAAUUACCUUAGGGAUAACAGCGUAAUUUUUUUUUUUAGUUCAAAUAAGAAGAAAAGUUUGCGACCUCGAUGUUGGAUUAAGAUAAAAUUUAAAUGCAAAAGUUUAAAAUUUUUG
rnacentral:rRNA from 1 species